GGACAGUGACGACUUGUAUCAAUUGGUCUCGUUCGUCGUAAUGGUGUUAAAAGCCACCUUGACGACCAUCCUGAUAUAUCACCACCCAUAAACUGAGUCC